rnacentral:rRNA from 1 species
UACGUAGGAGGCGAGCGUUGUCCGGAAUUACUGGGCGUAAAGAGCGCGUAGGCGGCGCGAUACGACCGAUGUGAAAGCCCCCGGCUCAACUGGGGAGGGUCACGGGUAACGGCAGUGCUCUGAGUGCAGGAGAGGAAGGUGGAAUUCCCGGUGUAGUAGUGAAAUGCGUAGAUAUCGGGAGGAACACCAGUGGCGAAGGCGGCCUUCUGGCUCGCAACUGACGCUGUAGCGCGAAAGCGUGGGGAGCGAACGGG